UAAAGCUCAAAUUGGAAGAGAGGUGUUGGCUAUGUCUAUGCAAGAUCAACUGAAAGAGAAGAAUGCAGAGAUAGAUGCACUGAAGAGGAAAUAUCACAAUGUUGUCUUUGUUUUUGAUGUCUUUGUGGUAGGUUUAGUGGCUGGGAAAAUGCUACUGCAGUAAGAUUGUUUACUGACAGUUGAAUGCAAUGUAUUAGUGGUCUUUUGGCAAGUUAAGUCUAUCCCAAACCCUAGCUGCAAAUGAUGCAAAUGGUCU
rnacentral:lncRNA from 1 species